rnacentral:pre_miRNA from 1 species
AUACUACUCCCUCCGUUCUGAAUUACUUGUCUUAGAUUUGUCUAGAUACGGAAGUAUCUAGCACUAAAAUGAGUCUAGAUACAUCCGUAUCUAGACAAAUCCAAGACAAGUAAUUCGGAACGAAGGGAGUAUCUA